GGAAUAGUAAUCAUUUGGAAAGAUAUGGCAAUUGCUAAUUGUUCUGAGGCAACUCUUGGGUGUUCGAAUCGCCUCUAUUCCG
rnacentral:tRNA from 1 species